AGGGGCACCUGGUGGCUCAGUCGGUUAAGCAUCUGCCUUCGGCUCAAGUCAAGAUCCCGGGGUCCUGGGAUGGAGCCCCACAUUGGGCUCCCUGCUCAGCAGGAGUCUGCUUCUCCCUCUGCCCCUCACCCCUACCCCCAUUACUCCACUCAUGCUUUCUCUCUCUCUCUCAAUCUCUCUCUCUCUCUCUGAAAUAAAUAAAUAAAAUCUUAAAAAAAAAAAAAGAAAGGAAAAGAAAAGCCACAUGAGGGAAUACACUCUAAUCAGUGUGUUAAAUGUAAAACUGCAACCCAUUCAUGUGUGUAGGGCACAAAUCAAGCACAAAUCCUGCAGGGAGGGUCUCAGCACAGCGGCCACAGUGAGCUUUCAGGUCAGGCAAACAUGAGCGCUGCUCCCACCUCUGUGUCAUCAAGAACCUAACCUCUCUUAGUCUUGUUUUCUCCAUCUAAAAAGAAGUUGAGUUGAACACCUACUUCAUAAACAUGUGUCAAGAAUUAAAUAAAGUGGCGUAGCAGUAAAGGUUUCUGCAUUGAGCAGAGUCGGUGUUCAGCAUAAGUACAUCCCUAGUAUGCAGUAGGCACAUCGUCGGAAUCAGUAAUAACUAUUACUAACCAUCAAUCCUUUCUUUCCCUCUGGCUUCAUGCUGGGAAUUAAAGAAAACCUUAGCCAAGAGUGACUUUAAAAGGAGAUGCUUUUGGCCAGGUUCUGUUCCACCCUUUGAAUACAUUCUUGUCCUAAUCUUGGGGACUCGGCUGGCCUCCUAUGCGCAACAAGCCCUUGUCCACAAAAAGCCUAGCAGAAUGGGCUUCCCUCCAUAACGGGCCUGAUAGAUUAACUAAGAAGACAGACUUCUCAGCCUCGCCUCUGUCUCCUGCUGCUCACAGACAUCACAUGGAAUGUUGGCUCCAAUUAGUCCAUGAACAGAAAAGACAAUUCUUGAACCUUCCGGGAAAUCAUGCAGGAUGGAUAGCCUGAAUAGCACUCAGCAGAUCCCCCUCAAGUGGAGAAGAUGCCUGAUGGUGACUGGUGCGGGACAAAUUCUAGCAACCCUGCCCUCUCCCCGACUCAAGAACAAAGCCCACCAGAAGGAAAGGAAGGACCAUCUUCUAAGAAAACAUGACUGCUUCUGAGGCUAAAUUAUGUCAAGAUAUAAGAUCAGGAAUGUCCAGAUGCUGUUUAUCCCAUCUUAAUUAAAUUUGGACUUCUUCGGGGGAAAAAAUACCUCAGUUCCAGGAAAAGCUGUUUUGACUCUGAGGCUGUUUGGAUCCUGUUUUAUGAAAACAAACAUUUUAAUCAAGAUAUCACCAUCCCUAGCAUUUCACUGUGAAGGUAUUUUUUGAAGCAAACUCUCUUGAGUCAAUAUAUGUCCUUAAUAAUAUUCUAUUUAAUGUUGUUCAAUAAUCUUAGUUUUUUUUUCCCUGUUCUCAUUUUUAGUUUCCUAAAAAUAUUUCAAAUAGGAUCAAUUCCUUUUCAGGCACACUUUACAGUGAUGCCUUGAGAAAUUAUUUGUCCAUCUGGUAUUCCUUUGCCUCUUUCAGGUAAGCACACCUCACUUUUUCCUUUAGGGAACCAUGCUUCCCCUAUCCCACAGAAUCCUGAUAGAUCUACAAGUAUCAGAGUUGUGUCCUACUGCACAGCACCUCACCCAACUGACACUCCAUGUGCCCCCAAAUGCAGAGGGGACAUUUGAUCCUGAUGGGCCAGUCCACGUCCUCUCUUCCCAAACCAGUGAUUGGGUUUGAGAUGGUCAUUUUUCUUGAGAUUUUCUGUAUAGAUGCUGAGAGAGUGCGUAUAUGCCUCUUCCAUUUGGAAUAAUAGCUAUAAGGAUAUGGUUUUUAAGUUUCCAUCUGCAGAGAAAGAGCCACAGGAAAAAAGAGAGAGAGAGAGAGAGG
rnacentral:lncRNA from 12 species